rnacentral:lncRNA from 10 species
UAGCAGUCUUCAUCGCUUUGUGGUAUCUAUGUGAACAGUUGUGUCCUCGCUAAGAGAGUGUCCAAUUACACGCACGGCAGGGAAAAGCAAGAGAUCAGCAGUUGACUAUGCUUUUGUCUAAGGACAGGUAAAUGGAUGCCAAGACAACAGAGAAACAGGAAUCUUUUUGUGUAGUUAUAUAUUAAUUUGUUUGCAAUAUUGGCUUGCAAAUAGAAGGCCAGAGAGAGAUCCAGCACCACAGGGAUUCAAAUCUCCGUUGACAAGUGUUUAUAAAUGACUCGCAACCAGAACAUAUAUGUGGAAUCAGCACACAAAACUGGCAAGAGCACUGGUUCCGCUGCAGAAAUUACACACAAGAGGAGCUCUUUCUGUGUGCUUUCAUGCAUCAGUCUAGAGCCAGUUCUUCCUCAUUCACAUUGAAACGUCAGGUUCGGCCUGAAUAAUGUUUCCAUGCGGGCCUAAAAACUUCUGCAAAAAUUCGAUGGAAGUAAAAAUCACACAAGACCUCAUCACACUCCUCCAUGUGAUCUCAAUAUUUUUAAAGAAAAUAUUUAUAUACGUUUUAUUUAUAAACCACUAUUCUAAGACUUAUAAGUCUAUAAAGCUUCCAUUUGGGCAAAAAUGUAAUCUCCCAAGAUAUAGCAGCUCUCUAAGCUAAAAAUAAGAGAGAAUAUUUUUGAAGAGACAAGAGUCUCAGGUUCCUUGUGAGGGAACUCAAAAUAUUUCACCCCAAAAUAUGGCAAUCUGAGUGUUUUAAGUUAAAACCUCAUAGAGAUCAAUAAGCACUGGAGGAGAGUUUUCCCCUAUCAACAGAAAGACAGGACUGACUCACCCAGGAGAACAAUUGUUCUUGUUCCCCUCCCUGGUAUCUCAUUAUUCACUACAGGAAAGAAGACCAAAA